UACAGAGGGUGCAAGCGUUGCUCGGAUUUACUGGGCGUAAAGCGUACGCAGACGGUGAGAAAGGUCGGAUGUGAAAGCCCCGGGCUCAACCCGGGAACUGCAUCCGAAACCAUCUCGCUCGAGUGUGGGAGAGGGAAGCGGAAUUCCUGGUGUAGAGGUGAAAUUCGUAGAUAUCGGGAGGAACACCUGUGGCGAAGGCGACCCCCUGGUUGGAUACUGACGCUGAGACGCGAAAGCGUGGGGAGCAAACAGG
rnacentral:rRNA from 1 species